GUUGGUGUGUUGCUGUGUUGCUGUGCAUUGCGUGCCGAUUCGAAACGCAAUAAUCUUAAUUAUUAUUGUUAAAACGACGUAAACCGUUUUUAUCUCUUCAGUGGUCAAAUAUUAUUGUUACGAAUACAAACGGCGUUUAUAGUUCAUUACCGUAUAUUAUUAAAAUAAUAUUGUAACGUCGAUCUUUCAAAAUGAAUCCUGCUCCAUUAGUACGCUACGCCAUGAUAACCGGUGACGUGAUAGAAACCACCAUCGGAAUGACCGGUUUGACGAUUGCAGCUGCUGCGACCGGCUGGGGCCUACCAUCGGUCGCGAUGACUUCGGCCGCCGUCGGAGUGUACAAAGUGGUUAAGUUACUGUGGCGGAUACAGAGGAGAUUGCGUUAACGUUUUUCGUGACAAUAUUACGUUGUACACUACUAUUAUGUAUACAGGACGAUUCGUUAGACGCUCCUGCUCAAUCAUCCUGCUAUGUAGUCAGCUUUUAUAGGAAUAAAAUGUUUUCGUAUGAUUCAAAUCUUAUUAAAUCACCUCUACAAAACCUGUAUGAAUAAAAAAUAUUAAUUUAUGAUUUUUUUUUCUUAAGCAUUUGAGUCAGUCUCAAAUGAACGAAUAAUAGUGUGCCAUAUAUAUAUAUAUAUAUAUAUAUAUACACAUCAACAUAGUAAAUACCUAUCCCCUCUUGUUCUUAUUAAAACUUUACAUGUUUAAGAAUAACUCAAUAAAUUGUCUUUACAAAUAAUUAUAAAAUAUUCGUUACGAUCGAAAAUUAUUGAAAAAUUAAAUGCAAUAUAUUAGAAUGAGCGGAUUACGUCGAGAUGAUCAUCCUGUAUACGCAAACUAAUAGUCAGACGAUUCACCUACAGCCGCGUCAUUUACCGAUUCGAAAGAUGCGACAGUGGAUGACAGUGGAUUCGCAAAAACAGCCGCAGAGUAAAAAAUCAACCGAAUAAUAUUAUAAUGCAGGCCUAGUUGUAAACAUAAUAUAAUAACGCUCUAGACAUACGUGUUUGUAUACAAUAUGUGUGUAUGAUAAUGCAGUAAAUAUUAUAUAUUUAUUUUUCAUGUAAAUACAUAUAUAGUUUUGUUCAAAACGAAAUGUAAAUUUGUGUGUACAUAUAAAACUAAAAUAAAAAAUAUUUUUACAUUUUUUUUUCUAUA